rnacentral:rRNA from 1 species
ACCAUAUAGCUAGCCAAAACAGAUUAACUGAACAUAACAUUAUUACACAACACAAACCUAACACCCCUAACAUUAAAACAUUUUGUACCUCUUAGUAUGGGCGACAGAACAGAACCUUUGAGCUAUAGAAAUUAGUACCGCAAGGGAAAGCUGAAAAAGAAAUGAAACAAUUAAUUAAAGUAUAAAAAAGUAGAGACUACCCCUCGUACCUUUCGCAUCAUGAUUUAGCAAGAACAAUUAGGCAAGAAGUCUCUUAGUCUAACUCCCCGAAACUAAAUGAGCUACUUCGGAGCAGCAUAUUAGAGCCAACCCACCUCUGUGGCAAAAGAGGGGGAAGACUCCCAAGUAGAGGUGACAUGCCUACCGAAUUUAGUGAUAGCUGGUUACCCAAAAAAAGAAUCUAAGUUCUGCAUUAAUUUUUCAAUUAAGUGAAUAAAAACCUUUCAUAAAACCAAUUGUAAUAAUUAAUAGUUAUUCAAAAAAGGUACAGCUUUUUUGAACCAAGAAACAACUUUUAUAGGAGGGUAAAGAUUAUAAUCUCUAAGGAAUCACCCUCAGUGGGCCUGAAAGCAGCCAUCUGUAAAGCAAGCGUCUCAGCUCAAGCUAACAAAAACACCAACAAAUUCCCAUAUUCAACUCACAGCCCCCUAAAAAUCUAUUGGGUUAUUUUAUAAAUUUAUAAAAGAAAUUAUGCUAAAAUGAGUAAUAAGGAGCCAAACCCCUCCAACAACACCAGUGUAAGUCAGAAAGAAUUAAAUCGCUGAUAAUUAACCGAUGUCAAAUUGAGACUAUUAUGAUACAAAAAACUAACAAGAAAACCCCAUUUAAAUAAUCGUUAACCCAACACAGGAGUGUUAAAAGGAAAGAUUAAAAGAAAAUAAAGGAACUCGGCAAACACAAACUCCGCCUGUUUACCAAAAACAUCGCCUCUUGCUCUCAACAUGUAUAAGAGGUCCCGCCUGCCCUGUGAUAUUUUUAACGGCCGCGGUAUCUUGACCGUGCGAAGGUAGCGUAAUCACUUGUUUUUUAAUAGAAGGCCCGUAUGAAUGGCAUUACGAGAGUUUAACUGUCUUUAUUCUCCAAUCAAUGAAAUUAAUCUCCUCGUGCAGAAGCGAGGGUACUAACAUAAGACGAGAAGACCCUGUGGAGCUUCAAACACUUAAGUUAUCUUUAAAAAUCAAUACUAAUCCUCGGAUGUAAAUAUUUAAAAAGCCCUAACUUAACUUGCUUUUGGUUGGGGUGACCAAGGAGAAAAACAAAACCUCCUUAUCGAGCGUGUAAUUAAUUACUCAAAAAUUAAAACCACCAUUUUAAUUAAUAGAACAUCUAACGACCAAUGACCCAGGGAGCCUCUCCCUGAUCAAUGAACCAAGUUACCCCAGGGAUAACAGCGCAAUCCUUUCCAAGAGCCCCCAUCACCGAAAGGGUUUACGACCUCGAUGUUGGAUCAGGACAUCCUAAUGGUGUAGCAGCUAUUAAGGGUUCGUUUGUUCAACGAUUAAAGUCCUACGUGAUCUGAGUUCAGACCGGAGCAAUCCAGGUCAGUUUCUAUCUAUGACGGAAUUCUUCCUAGUACGAAAGGACCGGAAAAAUGAAGCCCAUGCUAAAAAGCACGCUUCAACCCAACCUGUUGAAACCAACUCAAACAGGUAAAGGGGGCGCCAUACCCAAGCCAAAGAUAAUGGUUUUU